UACGUAGGGCGCAAGCGUUGUCCGGAAUUAUUGGGCGUAAAGAGCUCGUAGGCGGUCUGUCGCGUCUGCCGUGAAAACCCGAGGCUUAACCUCGGGCCUGCGGUUGAUACGGGCGGGCUAGAGUUCGGUAGGGGAGACUGGAAUUCCUGGUGUAGCGGUGAAAUGCGCAGAUAUCAGGAGGAACACCGGUGGCGAAGGCGGGUCUCUGGGCCGAUACUGACGCUGAGGAGCGAAAGCGUGGGGAGCGAACAGG
rnacentral:rRNA from 1 species